rnacentral:rRNA from 1 species
AUUGAACGCUAGCGGCAUGCCUUACACAUGCAAGUCGAACGGCAGCACGGGGCAACCUGGUGGCGAGUGGCGCACGGGUGAGUAAUGUAUCGGAACGUGCCCAGUAGCGGGGGAUAACUACGCGAAAGCGUAGCUAAUACCGCAUACGCCCUACGGGGGAAAGGGGGGGAUCGCAAGACCUCUCACUAUUGGAGCGGCCGCUAUCGGAUUAGCUAGUUGGUGAGGUAAAGGCUCACCAAGGCUUCGAUCCGUAGCUGGUUUGAGAGGACGACCAGCCACACUGGGACUGAGACACGGCCCAGACUCCUACGGGAGGCAGCAGUGGGGAAUUUUGGACAAUGGGGGCAACCCUGAUCCAGCAAUGCCGCGUGUGCGAAGAAGGCCUUCGGGUUGUAAAGCACUUUUGGCGGGAACGAAACGGUGCCGGAUAAUACCUGGCGCCACUGACGGUACCCGCAGAAUAAGCACCGGCUAACUACGUG